rnacentral:rRNA from 1 species
GACGAACGCUGGCGGCGUGCUUAACACAUGCAAGUCGAACGGAAAGGCCCUGCUUUUGUGGGGUGCUCAAGUGGCGAACGGGUGAGUAACACGUGAGUAACCUGCCCUUGACUUUGGGAUAACUUCAGGAAACUGGGGCUAAUACCGGAUAGGAGCUCCUGCUGCAUGGUGGGGGUUGGAAAGUUUCGGCGGUUGGGGAUGGACUCGCGGCUUAUCAGCUUGUUGGUGGGGUAGUGGCUUACCAAGGCUUUGACGGGUAGCCGGCCUGAGAGGGUGACCGGCCACAUUGGGACUGAGGUACGGCCCAGACUCCUACGGGAGGCAGCAGUGGGGAAUAUUGCACAAUGGGCGGAAGCCUGAUGCAGCAACGCCGCGUGCGGGAUGACGGCCUUCGGGUUGUAAACCGCUUUCGCCUGUGACGAAGCGUGAGUGACGGUAAUGGGUAAAGAAGCACCGGCUAACUACGUG